rnacentral:rRNA from 1 species
GAUGAACGCUGGCGGCGUGCCUAAUACAUGCAAGUCGAGCGCAGCGGGGACGGGUGAGUAACACGUGGAUAACCUCCUAAAAGACUGGGAUAACUUCGGAAAACAGGAGCUAAACCUGAUACUUAUAUAUGGAUCCGCGCUGCAUUAGCUAGUUGGUAAGGUAACGGCGUACAAAGGCAACGAUGCAUAGCCGACCUGAGAGGGGGAUCUGCCACACUGGAACUGAGACACGGUCCAGACUCCUACGGGAGGCAGCAGUAGGGAAUCUUCCGCAAUGGGCGAAAGCCUGACGGAGCAACGCCGCGUGAGUGAUGAAGGUCUUCGGAUCGUAAAACUCUGUUAUUAGAGAAGCGGUACCUAAUCAGAAAGCCAUGGCUAACUACGUGCCAGCAGCCGCGGUAAUUC